CCUACGGGUGGCAGCAGUGGGGGAUAUUGCACAAUGGGGGGAACCCUGAUGCAGCGACGCCGCGUGAGUGAAGGAGCGUUUCGGCGCGUAAAGCUCUAUCGGCAAGGAAGAAGAUGACGGUACCUGGCCAAGAAGCCACGGCUAACUACGUGCCAGCAGCCGCGGUAAGACGGAGGGGGCAAGCGUUAUCCGGAUUUACUGGGUGUAAAGGGGGCGCAGACGGCAAUGCAAGCCAGGAGUGAAAGCGCGGGGCCCAACCCCGGGACUGCUCUUGGAACUGGAUGGCUGGAGUACAGGAGAGGCAGGCGGAAUUCCUAGUGUAGCGGUGAAAUGCGUAGAUAUUAGGAGGAACACCGGUGGCGAAGGCGGCCUGCUGGACUGUGACUGACGUUGAGGCCCGAAGGCGUGGGGAGCAAACAGGAUUAGAUACCCCAGUAGUC
rnacentral:rRNA from 1 species